rnacentral:rRNA from 1 species
UACAGAGGUGCCGAGCGUUAGGCGGAAUCACUGGGCUUAAAGCGUGUGUAGGCGGACUUCUAAGUACCUUGUGAAAUCCCACGGCUCACCCGUGGAACUGCUGGGCAUACUGGGAGUCUUGAGCCACCUAGGGGCGAGCGGAACAAAUGGUGGAGCGGUGAAAUGCGUAGAUAUCAUUUGGAACGCCAACGGAGAAAUCAGCUCGCUGGGGGUGUGCUGACGCUGAGACACGAAAGCCAGGGGAGCGAACGGG